rnacentral:rRNA from 1 species
GUGGGGAAUCUUGCGCAAUGGGCGAAAGCCUGACGCAGCCAUGCCGCGUGAAUGAUGAAGGUCUUAGGAUUGUAAAAUUCUUUCACCGGGGACGAUAAUGACGGUACCCGGAGAAGAAGCCCCGGCUAACUUCGUGCCAGCAGCCGCGGUAAUACGAAGGGGGCUAGCGUUGCUCGGAAUUACUGGGCGUAAAGGGCGCGUAGGCGGACAGUUUAGUCAGAGGUGAAAGCCCAGGGCUCAACCUUGGAAUUGCCUUUGAGACUGGAUGUCUUGAGUACGGGAGAGGUGAGUGGAACUCCGAGUGUAGAGGUGAAAUUCGUAGAUAUUCGGAAGAACACCAGUGGCGAAGGCGACUCACUGGCCCGUUACUGACGCUGAGGCGCGAAAGCGUGGGGAGCAAACAGGAUUAGAAACCCGAGUAGUCC